rnacentral:rRNA from 1 species
ACAGAGUUUGAUGAUGGCUCAGGAUGAACGCUAGCGGCAGGCUUAACACAUGCAAGUCGAGGCGUAUAGUUCUUCGGAACUGGAGACCGGCGCACGGGUGCGUAACAUAUGCAAUCUACCUUUCACAGAGGGAUAGCCCAGAGAAAUUUGGAUUACUACCUCAUAGUAUUAUAGAGUGGCAUCACUUUAUAAUUAAAGAUUUAUCGGUGAAAGAUGAGCAUGCGUCGGAUUAGUUAGUUGGUAAGGUAACGGCUUACCAAGACUACGAUGGGUAGGGGUCCUGAGAGGGAGAUCCCCCACUAGGGUACUGAGACACGGACCAGACUCCUACGGGAGGCAGCAGUGAGGAAUAUUGGACAAUGGGCGCAAGCCUCUUCCAGCCAUGCCGCGUGCAGGAUGACGGUCCUAUGGAUUGUAAACUGCUUUUAUACAGGAAGAAACACUGGUUCGUGAACCAGCUUGACGGUACUGUAAGAAUAAUGGAUCGGCUAACUCCGUGCCAGUAGCCGCGGUAAUACGGAGGAUCCAAGCGUUAUCCGGAAUCAUUGGGUUUAAAGGGUCCGUAGGCGGUCGUUAGUAAGUCAGUGGUGAAAGCCCAUCGCUCAACGGUGGAACGGCCAUUGAAUACUGCUAGACUUGAAUUAUUAGGAAGUAACUAGAAUAUGUAGUGUAGCGGUGAAAUGCUUAGAGAUUACAUGGAAUACCAAUUGCGAUCAGGCAGGUUACUACUAAUUGAUUGACGCUGAUGGACGAAAGCGUGGGGUAGCGAACAGGAUUAGAUACCCUGGUAGUCCACGCCGUAAACGAUGGAUACUAGCUGUUGGGAGCAAUCUCAGUGGCUAACCGCGAAAGUGAUAAGUAUCCCACCUGGGGAGUACGAACGCAAGUUUGAAACUCAAAGGAAUUGACGGGGCCCCGCACAAGCGGUGGAGCAUGUGGUUUAAUUCGAUGAUACGCGAGGAACCUUACCAAGGCUUAAAUGUAGAUUGACCGGUUAGGAAACAGACUUUUCGCAAGACAAUUUACAAGGUGCUGCAUGGUUGUCGUCAGCUCGUGCCGUGAGGUGUCAGGUUAAGUCCUAUAACGAGCGCAACUUGUUAGUUGCCAGCGAGUCAAGUCGGGAACUCUAACAAGAUGGCCAGUGUAAACUGUGAGGAAGGUGGGGAUGACGUCAAAUCAUCACGGCCGGUACGCCUUGGGCUACACACGUGCUACAAUGGACGGUACCUAGAGCAGCCACUGGGCAACCAGGAGCGAAUCUACAAAACCGUUCUCAGUUCCAUCGGAGUCUGCAACUCGACUCCGUGAAGCUGGAAUCGCUAGUAAUCGGAUAUCAGCCAUGAUCCGGUGAAUACGUUCCCGGGCCCUGUACACACCGCCCGUCAAGCCAUGGAAGCUGGGGGUGCCUGAAGUCGGUGACCGCACAGAGCUGCCUAGGGUAAAACUGGUAACUAGGGCUAAGUCGUAACAAAGGUAACGC